UGGAUAAGAUCUCUCUUUCUAUCUCACUCUCCCUAACUGCUUGAAUGGAAAGGUAUAUUUCUUUGAUCUUAAAACCUUACCUUCAUCACCAGUCUUUGGAUGUACGAUUUGCUUUUUGCUUUGUACGAUUUCCUUUCAUCACCAAUCCUAAAACCUUAAUUGAACAAUCAAUUUGAAAUAAUUUAGAGUAUUCACAUACUCAGCAUUAUCUUACAAGCUUUGAAAGAGUUUUAGAUAAAGUUCAUAAGUUAACAUUAAUCAGCUAUUUGCAAUUCCAUUCCACUGCAGCAACGCAUGUCUGCUUCUAGUUAUAUAUAUAUAUAACAUCUCAUAACUCUAUGGCUUUCAUUUCUCUUCUCCAAUAAACGGUUGGAAACUCUAGGGCUUUUGAAAUUGAAAUUUUGGGAGAUUUCUUUGCAAUGCCAAUUUUCAUAUAGUUUUUUAGGCUGUUGAUUUCUGGUUAAAGCUUGGUUUUGAAAUUUUGUAUGAAUUCAAUUCACGCUCUUCAUUCAGUAUGAUUUCUAAAUCAAUUCCUUUUCAAUUUAGUUUAAUCCUAUUCUAGGUUUAAGGUUUGAAGGAUGUUUUAAGAAAUUUGACUCUUAAUCUAUGAUGAAAAGGUGGCAAUUCAAGCUAGACUUAUGAAACUUCUUUUGUUUUUCUUAUGUGAACUUUAUUUUCCCAGUGAUUUGCAGCUUGAUAUGGAAAUUGAUAUUUGAAUGAGGAUCAAAUUCCCUUGAUGUCAAAUAAACUAUAUUUGAUUGAAUAUAAUAUAUGAUUGAUUAUUUUUAAUUAUAUUCAAAUAUUGUAACAUCUUAUUUCUGUUUUAAAAUUGAUCGAAAUAGAAUUGCAAGGUUUAUUGUAGUUAGUUAAUGUCUGGAGUUUGUAUGCAUACGUGGUUUUUCUUAUUCUUCUACUUGGUCCUAUCACAUUAUGAUUUCAUUUGGAAUAAAUCAUUUGCA
rnacentral:misc_RNA from 1 species